ACGUACACUCCUACGGGGGCAGCAGUGGGGAAUUUUACGCAAUGGGGGAAACCCUGACGUAGCGACACCGCGUGAGCGAAGAAGCCCUUUGGGGUGUAAAGCUCUGUCAGCUGGAACGAAAACAAUGACGGUACCAGCAGAGGAAGCAUCGGCUAACUACGUGCCAGCAGCCGCGGUAAGACGUAGGAUGCGAGCGUUGUCCGGAUUUAUUGGGCGUAAAGAGUUCGUAGGUGGUUUGUUAAGUUUGGUGUUAAAGAUCGGGGCUCAACCCUGGGACUGCACUGAAUACUGGCAGACUCGAGUGUGGUAGAGGCUAGUGGAAUUCCCAGUGUAGCGGUGAAAUGCGUAGAUAUUGGGAAGAACACCGGUGGCGUAGGCGACUAGCUGGGCCAUAACUGACGCUGAGGAACGAAAGCCAGGGGAGCGAAUGGGAUUAGAAAUCCUGGUAGUCCCAUGAU
rnacentral:rRNA from 1 species